rnacentral:lncRNA from 1 species
AGAUACGAUUUUGAUUCCUUUCUCUUUCGAAUCUGCCGGUGGUUCCAAGUUUUACUGACCGGCCGGUGGUGUGACAACGUUCUCUAUACAGGUAAAAUUGCCACUGUUGAUGUUUUCUAAUCAAAAUACCAAUUUGAGAUUGUUUGCUUUGGUGAUCAGGUCGGAGAUUUGUAGUCUCCAUUGAUCGAUUCUUUAUCAAAAGGAUCUUCAUUUUCAGGUUAAAUUUUGUCUCAAAACCCUAUUGAACAAUGUCUAGAAAUGUUCUUUGGUCUCAAUGUCUCAUUGUAUGAUUGGUUCUGUUUUACAGCUUUCGUAUAUCUCAAAGCCUUUUGGAAACAGUUUUGUUGGUUUUACUGAGAUAUAAAGAGAUUUUGAGGGUUU